rnacentral:rRNA from 1 species
GCAAGCCGACGGCAGCGCGGGGAGCUUGCUCCCUGGCGGCGAGUGGCGGACGGGUGAGGAAUGCAUCGGAAUCUGCCCAUUUGUGGGGGAUAACCUCGGGAAACCGGGACUAAUACCGCAUACGACCUCCGGGUGAAAGCAGGGGACCUUCGGGCCUUGCGCAGAUGGAUGAGCCGAUGCCGGAUUAGCUAGUUGGUGGGGUAAAGGCCUACCAAGGCGACGAUCCGUAGCUGGUCUGAGAGGAUGAUCAGCCACACCGGGACUGAGACACGGCCCGGACUCCUACGGGAGGCAGCAGUGGGGAAUAUUGGACAAUGGGCGAAAGCCUGAUCCAGCCAUACCGCGUGGGUGAAGAAGGCCUUCGGGUUGUAAAGCCCUUUUGUUGGGAAAGAAAAACAUCCGGCUAAUACCCGGAUGGAAUGACGGUACCCAAAGAAUAAGCACCGGCUAACUUCGUGCCAGCAGCCGCGGUAAUACGAAGGGUGCAAGCGUUACUCGGAAUUACUGGGCGUAAAGGGUGCGUAGGUGGUUCGUUAAGUCUGAUGUGAAAGCCCUGGGCUCAACCUGGGAAUUGCAUUGGGUACUGGCGGGCUGGAGUGCGGUAGAGGGUAGUGGAAUUCCCGGUGUAGCAGUGAAAUGCGUAGAUAUCGGGAGGAACAUCCGUGGCGAAGGCGACUGCCUGGACCAGCACUGACACUGAGGCACGAAAGCGUGGGAGCAAACAGGAUUAGAUACCCUGGUAGUCCACGCCCUAAACGAUGUGAACUGGAUGUUGGGAGCAAUCAGGCUCUCAGUAUCGAAGCUAACGCGUUAAGUUCGCCGCCUGGGGAGUACGGUCGCAAGACUGCAACUCAAAUGAAUUGACGGAA